AUUAGCGGAUGACCUGUGGCUGGGGGUGAAAGGCCAAUCAAACCGGGAGAUAGCUGGUUCUCCCCGAAAGCUAUUUAGGUAGCGCCUCGUGAAUUCAUCUCCGGGGGUAGAGCACUGUUUCGGCUAGGGGGCCAUCCCGGCUUACCAACCCGAUGCAAACUGCGAAUACCGGAGAAUGUUAUCACGGGAGACACACGGCGGGUGCUAACGUCCGUCGUGAAGAGGGAAACAACCCAGACCGCCAGCUAAGGUCCCAAAGUCAUGGUUAAGUGGGAAACGAUGUGGGAAGGCCCAGACAGCCAGGAUGUUGGCUUAGAAGCAGCCAUCAUUUAAAGAAAGCGUAAUAGCUCACUGGUCGAGUCGGCCU
rnacentral:rRNA from 1 species